CUUUCAGAUUAAUUCUUGAACCUGCAGAUGAAGAGUUAUGGAAUACUCACAUGAUUUGCUGUUCAUUCAAGAACUUUUGUUUUGAAGUUGAGGUGGAAGUGAGAGUUGUCAUUUUGUUCAGCUGGUGUUUCAGUCCAUGUUCAAACUGUAAAACAUUGACCAUUUGUUUCAUGUCGGUGCUUUAACCACUUGUCAGCAGUCAUUUUCAGACCUGCCAAUCAUCUCUGGGAGAAUUGUUCUGAACAAAUCAGCCCACAGAAUCAAAAAAACACCUCCAUCAUGAACCCUUACAACCUCUGGAUCUGUCCUGUUCUUCAUUUCUCUACAUCAGUCACUAGGAAAAAGAAGAAGAGGUUGGUAGGGGGAGGCUGGAAGUCUGUGUCCCAGGGCAUGAUCCCUCUGUCUGGAAAGACUCAACAGGAAAACAUCCCUACCCAGGGUUCCACAUCAGCAGCCCCCCUUUGACAUUCACGGAUGAUUUCUAAGAGCUGGACGUCCUCCAUGGAUUUCUUGGCCACUGUGGUUCUCAUACCUAAGGACUGAAAGAGAGAGAGAGAGGUUAAGACGUAUACGGAACAGAAGGAAAACUGAGGUCUGAUGAAAGAGAUCCUUCAUGGUAAUAGUAAUUUUGAAAAUCUACCAUGAAUACCAUGGUAUUUUCUGAAGUACCAUGUAAAUACAAUGGUAAGUAAUAAUUGAAGAGACAAUAGAUUCAACUGAACUUCAGCUUUAGCAAAGACACAUCUUUUGCUCCAAAAAAAAAAAAAAUACUGUAGUGGUGUCAAAUUAUAUGAUUUUACUGUAGUACUGAAAUUUAUGUACCGUGAUUUUAUGUGGUAUUCCAUGUUAUUUCCAAGCAUACCAUGGUACUACAAGGGUACAUGUCCAAAAUGUCCCAAUAAUAUCAGUGUACACAACCAAAAUACAGUGAUAGUACCACGAUACAGUACAUGUCCAAAAUAUCAUGCAAUAGUAUAAGGCUACAUGUCCAAAAUAUCCCAAUAAUAUCACAGUACAUGUCCAAAAUACCAUGGUACUUCUCCAAAAAUAGCACAAUAAUAGUACCAUGGUAUAACAGUACAUGUUCAAAAUUUCAUGAUGGUAUAUAUUUUUUGUAAGGUCAGUGAAAGUGAUUGCUGAGGUCGCAAAUGCUACAUCCAGGUCUUUUUCAUUGCCAUCUGAGAGAGUCUUUAACGGCUGUCUGUGGUGAUGUUAGUCUGGAGUGUUCUGUCAGGUCUCACCGAAAGGGAAAAACAGCAGAGGAAAGUUGUACUUUGAAUUGAAAUAUCAUAAAUCAGGAUUAAUGUCACACCUGCUGACAUCCAAAUGACACAUGCGUCCCCAGGCCAAGGCUUUUAAAAUACAGCAGCAGUUAAGUGAACGUGUGUGUGUGUUCCCAGGCCACAAUCCAGAGGAAUCAUUUAAAACUGACCUGCUCCUCAUCUGAGCUGUGAUUUACACCGCUGUUGUGUUCAUGUCUCCGAGUGUGAGGACUGACAGUGGCCAUUACUGAACCCUAAACUACCACACACUGUCCCACCACACCGCAACCCCAGCGGAGAGAAGCCAGCUGAUUACAGACCAGUUGCCAUUGGAAAAAAGUUUGGAAACUCUCAAUAGUUCCAGGAAAGCUCCUUACAUUCUCACCAGCGGAGGGGUGUGGGGUCUAUCCCUCCAUCACCCACCCCGCUUUCAUCACUUCCAGCCCCCUCAGAGGAGUCCCCAUCAGACAGAACCAGAUCCUCAGAAGCGGAGCGUGUUAAACGUGUGAAUAUAUCCACUAAAAACUGACACAAAUUCAGCGCCACGUGAGUCAUUUUGUCUGAAGGAAUCCUGUCUGUCUCACUCCAUUGGCCUGUCUUUCUCUCUUUUUAAUAACUUUCAUGUGUGGUGUUUUUUCAGCA